rnacentral:rRNA from 1 species
UACGGAAGGGGCAAGCGUUGUUCGGAAUCAUUGGGCGUAAAGGGCUCGUAGGCGGCCAACUAAGUCAUACGUGAAAUCCCUCAGCUUAACUGGGGAACUGCGUGUGAUACUGGAUGGCUUGGAUUUGGGAGAGGGAUGCGGAAUUCCAGGUGUAGCGGUGAAAUGCGUAGAUAUCUGGAGGAACACCGGUGGCGAAGGCGGCAUCCUGGACCAAUAUUGACGCUGAGGAGCGAAAGCCAGGGGAGCAAACGGG